CUCACCUCUACACACUCUGACUUGGAUCUCUCUUCUCUCAUCUCACCCAUAAAUACUGAUCUUCUCCACCCACGUGCGCCUUUCGUUGUCGUGCUUCCAACGACUCAAGAGGCACGUGACCGCCGGGGUGCACCGAUCUUUCACCACCACGGAAGGGAACCGCCCUACCAUCAUCCACAAGCGCAGCCUCGACAUUCUCCACGAUCCUUGGUUCAACAAAGUUUUGAUUGCGAACAUUGAGGAAUAUGCACCAGUAGUGUACACUCCAACAGUUGGACUUGUAUGUCAGAACUAUAGUGGAUUGUUUAGAAGGCCAAGAGGAAUGUACUUUAGUGCCGAUGAUUGCGGAGAAAUGAUGUCUAUGGUCUAUAACUGGCCCGCUGAGCAGGUCCUUAAUUAUCCACAUCACACUAUCCCAUAAUCUUUUGAAUUGUCAAUAAAAAAAAAUCAAUUACAAAAGAGCCAUAUAAUUCUAAAUGGCAAAUCCUAAAUUACUAUGGAACUAUCCAAAUUGAUGGAGAAUCAAUCCUAUUUGCACAUUGCAUGAGACUCUUAACAAAUUUUUCUUGAAGAUUGAAAACACCCCAAUCAUGUCCACCAUACAUGUAAUUCAAAACCAUCUCUUAUCACCUAUCAUCUGUGAAGUAGAUUGAGUUUUCUUCACACCCUAAGCAAGUUUUAAUAUCCAUUGAUACAGACUCAUUAGCACCCAAGAACAGAACUUUAUCAUGUAAAAAUCUCAUUUUUUUCCACUUCUUGUCUCCAAUAUCAAGUUUAUAAACAGUAAAAUACUUUGUUUUAUAAGGACAAAUCAAUGGUUGUGUAUCCUCAGAUGAUAAAAGAUCUCCUUCUUUUACUACCAACCCGUCAUCAUUCACAAAAUUCCCAAUAAAUCUUAUCACCAGCAAGAUUUCUUCUGCAAAUACCACCAAGUACAAAUUUCUUGAGAAUUUAUCUCCUAAAUAUGGUUUCUCCUCUUCAUAAUUCGCCUCCACAGUUGGUGUUAGAAGAAUCAAUCUUUAAGAAUUUUCUCACAAAUAUUCCAAAUUGUGAAGCCGAAUUACGAGAAAAUCUUUAAGAAGUUUGGAAUAUUUGUGGAAAAAUUCUUAAAGAGUGAUUCUUCUAACACCAACUGUGGAGCCGAAUUAUGAAGAGGAGAAACCAUAUUUAGGAGAUAAAUUCUCAAGAAAUUUGUACUUGGUGAUAUCUGUAGAAGAAAUCUUGCUGGUGAUAAGGUUUAUUGGGAAUUUUGUGAAUGAUGACAGGUUGGUAGUAGAAGAAGGAGAUCUUUUAUCAUAUGAGGAUACACAACCAUUGAUUUGUCCUUAUAGAACAAAGUAUUUUACUGUUUAUAAACUUGAUAUUGGAAACAAGAAGUGGAAAAAAAUGAGAUCUUUACAUGAUAAAGAUCUGUUCUUGGGUGCUAAUCAGUCUUUAUCAAUGGAUGUUAAAGUUUGCUUGGGGUGUGAAGCAAACUCAAUCUACUUCACAGAUGAUAGGUGGGAAGAGAUGACUUUGGACUACAUGUAUGGUGGACAUGAUUGGGGUGUUUCCAAUCUUGAAGAGAAAUGUGUUAAGAGCCUUAUGCAAUGUGCAAAUAGGAUUGAUCCUCCACCAAUUUGGGUAGCUCUAUAGUAAUUUAGGGUUUGCCAUUUAGAAUGAUAUGGUUCUUUGGUAAUUGAUUUUUUUUUUGUUUCUUCUCUAUUUGACAAUUCAAAAAAUCUUGUAAAGAACUUAAGAUUCACUAAUUUUUUUUAAGUGCAUAUGACACAUUACAAUAUAUCUUUUUCUUUCCUCCUAGUAAUCUAUUCUAGUCUCUUUUUGGUAGAAACCUGUGUAUUAUGUGGUACAGUAAUCACCUUUUCUUUUUUACUUCUAAUUUAAAGAACAUCAUAAGCAAAUUGAAUUGAACAGUGUUAAACAUUAUGUUCUCUUAUUUUUCAUGCUUAGAAUAAAUGAAGAAAACAUUUCGUUUCGUAUAUAUCGGAAUGGGAAAUAAAAAACUAUUGUUGUUU